rnacentral:lncRNA from 1 species
AAAAAGUAGCAUCUUAACUAUACUACAACAAAAUUGAUUUUUUAUUGCGAACAAAAUCGCCACAAAAAAUAUAAUAAUUCACCACAAAAAUAAUUUUAUGGCGAAAAUAAUUUCGCUAUAGGGUCGCCAUAGUAGCACCGCUACAAAAGGUUAUGGUGGCCAAAACAAUUACGCCACAAAAACCACGUACAUACCUAUUAUGGAAAUUUUAUUGGACAUAAAUACUCCCAAAUUUGCCGCAAUAAAGUAUUAGAUGGCCAUAAAUAUGCAUAUUGAUAAUAACAAAAUAUAUGAUAUUUUGUGAGCAAAAUAAUUUUGGCCACGAGUAGUAACAUAUGAUUUAUAACAAAUUUUAAAAUGGUCACAACUAGCAUUAAUCAUAUAACAACGAAAAUUUCUGUUCAACCACAAAUAAUUCUUUACUGUUCGAGUAAAAAAAAAAAGAGACACCUAUAUAAAAGUAAAAUGGAAGAAUAAUUAGAGUAGGAAUCCUAG